rnacentral:rRNA from 1 species
AGUGAACGCUGGCGGUAGGCCUAACACAUGCAAGUCGAACGGCAGCACAGUAAGAGCUUGCUCCUACGGGUGGCGAGUGGCGGACGGGUGAGGAAUACAUCGGACUCUACUUUUUCGUGGGGGAUAACGUAGGGAAACUUACGCCCAUACCGCAUCCGACCUACGGUUGAAAGCAUUGGAUCUUCUGUCCGUGCGCGAUUGAAUGAGGCGAUGUCGGAUUAGUUAGUUGGCGGGGUCAAGACCCACCAAGGCGACGAUCCGUAGCUGGUCUGGAUGGAUGAUCAGCCACACGGGAAGUGGAACGCCGUCCAGACGCCUACGAGAGGGAGCAGUGGGGAAUAUGGGACAAAAGGCGCAAGCAUUAUCCAGCCAGAGCGCGUGUGUGAAAAAGGCCUUCGGGUUGUAAAGCCCUUUUGUUGGGAAAGAAAAGCAGCAAGUUAAUAAGAAGCUAUUCUGACGGUACCCAAAGAAGAAGCACCGGCUAACUUCGUG